GGGUGAGGUCAUGGGGUCAAGAGGGCAUACUGGGGUGAAGUCAUGGAGUCAGGAGGGCACAUGAGGGGAGGUCAUGGGGUCGGGAGGGCACAUGGGGGGAGGUCAUGGGGUCAGGAGGGCACACUGGGGUGAGGUCAUGGGGUCAGGAGGGCACACUGGGGUGAAGUCAUGGAGUCAGGAGGGCACAUGAGGGGAGGUCAUGGGGUCGGGGGGGCACACUCACACCUGAGCAUUCGCGAUCUUGCCACUGGGGGCAGAAUCUUGUCCCGAGUGAC